GCCCCUCAAGAAUCUAGAAGGGGCUGGCGGUGGUGGUGCACGCCUUUAAUACCAGCACUCGGGAGGCAGAGGCAAGCGGAUCUCUGUGAGUUCAAGGCCAGCCUGGGCUACAGAGAUAUCAUUUAGAAAUAGUGGUUGCAAGUCAUCAGCUCUGAAAAAAAGACGAAUGAAGAUUGGCAACUGCCUGUCAAGGGUGGACUCCCCCAUAGAGGGAAAGGGAUGGCCAAAGCCUCACCUGCAUGUGCCCAAGAAUCUGUGUCAUUACUUGUGCCACUGUGAGCAGUGACAACAGAAGAGCAGCUCCAGGAACUGCAGACCUACUGCACGUAGACAACUCAUUUCACACUCUCGAGAACUCCACUUUACAGACCAGGACAGAGGCUUAAGAUAGGAUGUGAAUUCACUGUAACAGGAGGACUCCACAGUCCCUGGAGAGCAGGUGGCAUAUCUUCUGCCUGCGAAUAGUGUAGACAGGACAAGUGGCUAUGACUACUGCCAACCAGCGGGUGCUUCUGUAGGUGUUCUGGAGAGGGCCAUCUUCCCCAGGGAGGGUGGAGAGCAGGCGAGCAGGGACGCUGUCCACUUUGUGCUGUAAAUCCUCAGGGCUGGACCUGUGACUGGCACGUGUCAGAUGGUUAAUAUUAACUGUAAGAAUGUGGCUGCACAAAGGCUCCUGAGGGAAUGGGGAUGCUGUGUUUGGAUGUCAUGGCACUAAGCUGCCAGAAGGGCUGAAACCAAGCUAUGAUCACAAAGUGCAACCCUAGCCACAAGUGGAGUACUUUCUGAGUGCAGAAGCCCGGCUCACUCCCACAGCAGCCCACAGGUCUGUCCAAUGGCCAUCCACAUGUCUCUUCGUCUACUUGAGUCUCAUGAGGAACAGUGAAGUCAAGGAACUUCCUUGUCACUCAGCUAUAUUGACAGCAGAACCAGAAUGUUAGCCCUGCCCAUUUCACAGGCUGCUGCGGUGGAUUCCAGGAUAGAACAGACCUAAGAGGGAUCAGCCGCAACUUCAAGGCUUUCCAUUCUUCAGAUGGAACUGCCAGCUUCUUUCUGUGACAGAGGAAUGGGGACAUCACAGAGAUGGUAACAGAGGGAGCUGCCCACCCCUGCUCAACACCUGUCAAGGGCUCCUGCUGCCCCUGGGGUGAAGCACAAGGCCUUUAUCUGGGGACACCUGUUCCUUGGAGAUCUAGCCAAGCCCACCUCUCUGGCAGAGGAUUCUCACUCUGUUCACUGCCACCCACAUCAAGUAUUCCAGACUCAGAGGAGUACCUUCCAGCCCUGAACCAGCAAG